rnacentral:rRNA from 1 species
GUGGGGAAUUUUGGACAAUGGGCGCAAGCCUGAUCCAGCCAUGCCGCGUGCAGGAUGAAGGCCUUCGGGUUGUAAACUGCUUUUGUACGGAACGAAAAGGUGCCUUCUAAUAAAGGGCGCUCAUGACGGUACCGUAAGAAUAAGCACCGGCUAACUACGUGCCAGCAGCCGCGGUAAUACGUAGGGUGCGAGCGUUAAUCGGAAUUACUGGGCGUAAAGCGUGCGCAGGCGGUUUUGUAAGACAGAGGUGAAAUCCCCGGGCUCAACCUGGGAACUGCCUUUGUGACUGCAAGGCUGGAGUGCGGCAGAGGGGGAUGGAAUUCCGCGUGUAGCAGUGAAAUGCGUAGAUAUGCGGAGGAACACCGAUGGCGAAGGCAAUCCCCUGGGCCUGCACUGACGCUCAUGCACGAAAGCGUGGGGAGCAAACAGGAUUAGAAACCCGAGUAGUCC